GUCUUGUUGAUUAUAAUUUCAAGUCUGACCUGCCCAGUGAAGAGUUAAACGGCCGCGGUAUUCUGACCGUGCAAAGGUAGCAUAAUCACUAGUUUUUUAAUUGAAAGCUUGAAUGAAAGGUUUGAUGAAAAAAAGACUGUCUCUGUGAAAUUUUAGUAAAAUUUUAUUUUUGAGUUAAAAAGCUCAAAUUUAAAUAGAAGACGAGAAGACCCUAUAGAGUUUUAUAUUUUGUAAGUAGGGGAAUUCUAGGUUUUGAAAAUUUUGCUAUUUACGGGAAUAUUUUGUUGGGGUGAUGAAAAAAUUGAAUGAACUUUUUUUAUAUAAAAACAUUUAUUUAUGAACAAGUGAUCCUAAUUUUUGGAUUGUAAGAUUAAAUUACCUUAGGGAUAACAGCGUAAUUUUUUUUAGAGUUCUUAUCGAAAGAAAAGAUUGCGACCUCGAUGUUGGAUUAAAAUGAAUUAUUGGUGUAGAAGCUAAUAUAUUAGGUCUGUUCGACCUUUAAAAUUUUACAUGAUCUGAGUUUAAACCGGCGUGAG
rnacentral:rRNA from 1 species